AACUUUUUAGCUCACCUGGCCUAAAAGGCCAUGUGAGCUUUUCUCAUCACUUGGCGUCCGUCGUCGUCGUCGUCGACGUCGUCGUCGUUAACAAUUUUUCAAACAUCUUCUCCUCUGAAACUACUGAAUGGAUUUGAAUGAAACUUAAAAUGAUUGUUCCUUAGAUUAUCCUGCACAAAGUGUAUGCUUCGAUUUUUGAUCCGUCAAAAAACAUGGCCGCCGUUACUUAAAAUAGAACAUAGGGGUCAAAUGCAGUUUUUGGCUUAUAUCUCAAAAACAGAAGCAUUUAGAGCAAAUCUGACAUGGGGUAAAAAUGUUCAUUAGGUCAAGAUCUAUCAGCCCAGAAAUUUUCAGAUGAAUCAAACAAACCAUUG
rnacentral:lncRNA from 1 species